AUAAGAGAAACUCAAGCUGUGACCCAGGCAAUAACUUUCAAGCGAAGCUGCUAAACUACAAGCGAAAUAUAAUUUUGUAUUUCUCAGUUUGUUUCUCAUUUAAUUGUUCUUUGGUUACUAUUAUAUCUCGUAAAUAUAUAGCCGGUAUGGUUUUGUUUUCGAAAUUCCAACACGUCUCAGUGCAAUCGCUUUAAUGAUAUGUACAUACUAUAUAAAUAAGUUAUUACGCCUCUGUGUUGAUAUUACUAUUGAGUCACAUCCUGAGUCGAUUUCUUUAGAAAUAAAGAAAUUAAUAAACUUAUGCUGUCAUCAAUUUCUAUUCAGACGAAUGGGUUUUAUGUUGACGAACGAUUUUUUAGGAAAAUUAUAAAAAAGAGAUUACUAAUCGUCUUUGAAAUUUGAGGUUAUCUUCUAUGAACUUAAACCACAAGUGUAACAAAAGUUCUGUGAAAUCUGAUCUACAUGGAGAUUUCCUAAAACUAUAAGAAAAGUGUGAGCGGAUGAAACAAAAAAGUUGAUAAUUCAAUAAUCUAGAGAAGAUAUUUUGCACAAAAAAGAAGGGAUCGCAUUAAUUAUAAAUGGAUUAAAAAUUAUUGGAGAUAUUUUUCAGACAUCUUCCAUUUUGUAUUUCUGCGAUAAUUCUAUAAAUUCAUCAUACAAGGGACCUGUUUCUAUGUACAUACAUAUAUGCUUGCCAAAUCUCUUCUCCAACUCAUUUGAAACAAAUGUUGAAGUUUGAAAGAAAAAGAAUUCGAAGAAAAAGUUCAUUAAACUAGUGCGCUCAUUGAAGUGUGCCCGCCAGCAGCUGCUUGUCAGCACAGCUGAUGUUCGAUCCCGCAGGACUCUUUCAAUUCGUUGGAAACAUGAAGCAUGCUACACUAUACAAGUCUUCUUUUGAUAUAAUGGAGGCAAGCUGCCGGUGUCGUAAGCUGCACAAGGAUAUGGAUGAGUAUAUAUGUAUGUACAUA